rnacentral:rRNA from 1 species
GGGUGAAAGGCCAAUCAAACACCGUGAUAGCUGGUUCUCCCCGAAAUGCAUUUAGGUGCAGCGUUAAUCAAGUUUUAUAGAGGUAGAGCUACUGAUUGGAUGCGGGGGCUUCACCGCCUACCAAUUCCUGACAAACUCCGAAUGCUAUAAAAUGGUGAUUAGCAGUGAGGGCAUGGGUGCUAAGGUCCUUGUCCGAGAGGGAAAGAACCCGGACCAUCAGCUAAGGUCCCCAAAUAUGUGCUAAGUUGACAAAACGCGGUGGGACUGCACAGACAGCCAGGAUGUUGGCUUGGAAGCAGCCAUUCAUUUAAAGAGUGCGUAACAGCUCACUGGUCGAGCG